rnacentral:rRNA from 1 species
CAAUAGCGUAUAUUAAAGUUGUUGCAGUUAAAAAGCUCGUAGUUGGACCUUGGACCUGGACAGGCGGUCCGCCUCACGGCGAGUACUGUCUUGCUGGGUCUUUCCUCUUGGUGAUCUGUUGUUUCGGCAGCAGGGAACCAGGACCUUUACUUUGAAAAAAUAAGAGUGUUCAAAGCAGGCUCGACGCCGGAAUAUAUUAGCAUGGAAUAAUAAAAUAGGACGUGCGGUUCUAUUUUGUUGGUUUUUGGAAUCGCCGUAAUGAUUAAUAGGGACAGUCGGGGGCAUUAGUACUCACAUGCUAGAGGUGAAAUUCUUGGAUUUUGUGAAGACUAACUUCUGCGAAAGCAUUUGCCAAGGAUGUUUUCAUUAA